rnacentral:rRNA from 1 species
UACGGAGGGAGCUAGCGUUGUUCGGAAUUACUGGGCGUAAAGCGCGCGUAGGCGGCUUUGUAAGUUAGAGGUGAAAGCCCGGAGCUCAACUCCGGAACUGCCUUUAAGACUGCAUCGCUUGAAUCCAGGAGAGGUGAGUGGAAUUCCGAGUGUAGAGGUGAAAUUCGUAGAUAUUCGGAAGAACACCAGUGGCGAAGGCGGCUCACUGGACUGGUAUUGACGCUGAGGUGCGAAAGCGUGGGAGCAACAGG